GACAGGUGCUGCAUGGCUGUCGUCAGCUCGUGUCGUGAGAUGUUGGGUUAAGUCCCGCAACGAGCGCAACCCUUGUCAUUAGUUGCCAUCAUUUAGUUGGGCACUCUAAUGAGACUGCCGGUGACAAACCGGAGGAAGGUGGGGAUGACGUCAAGUCCUCAUGGCCCUUAUGGGUAGGGCUUCACACGUCAUACAAUGGUCGGUACAGAGGGUUGCCAAGCCGCGAGGUGGAGCCAAUCCCAGAAAGCCGAUCGUAGUCCGGAUCGGAGUCUGCAACUCGACUCCGUGAAGUCGGAAUCGCUAGUAAUCGUGGAUCAGCAUGCCACGGUGAAUACGUUCCCGGGUCUU
rnacentral:rRNA from 1 species